rnacentral:rRNA from 1 species
AUGAACGCUGGCGGCGUGCCUAAUCCAUGCAAGUCGAGCGAACAGACUAGGAGCUUGCUCCUCUGACGUUAGCGGCGGACGGGUGAGUAACACGUCGCUAACCUACCUAUAAGACUGGGAUAACUUCGGGAAACCGGAGCUAAUACCGGAUAAUAUAUUGAACCUCAUGGUUCAAUAGUGAAAGACGGUUUUGCUGUCACUUAUAGAUGGAUCCGCGCCGCAUUAGCUCGUUGGUAAGGUAACGGCUUACCAAGGCAACGAUGCGUAGCCGACCUGAGAGGGUGAUAAGCCACACUGGAACGGAGACACGGUCCAGACUCCUACGGGAGGCAGCAGUAGGGAAUCUUCCGCAAUGGGCGAAAGCCUGACGUAGCAACGCCGCGUGAGUGAUGAAGGUCUGCGGAUCUGAGAACUCUGUUAUUAGGGAAGAACAAAUGUGUAAGUAACGAUGCACGUCUUGACGGUACCGAAUCAGAAAGCCACGGCUAACUACGUG